ACCCAUGACUAUGAUGUCAAGAUGCGCAAUGUGAUGAAAUUCCUCGAAGGAGGGGACAAGGUCAAGGUCACGCUGCGGUUCCGUGGCCGCGAAAUGGCGCACCAGGAUCUUGGUUUCGAAUUGCUUAAUCGGGUGCGAGACGAUGUCGGCGAAGCCGGCAAGAUCGAGUCCAUGCCCAAGAUGGAAGGCCGGCAGAUGAUCAUGAUGAUCGCGCCACGCUGACAUCCGGUGACAGAACGAUGAUAUCAGGCCGCGCCGGCAUUGCCGCGCGGCCUUUGCAAUGAAAGGGGCAACUGACAUGCAAUCACCCA
rnacentral:misc_RNA from 1 species